rnacentral:rRNA from 1 species
AGAGUUUGAUCAUGGCUCAGGAUGAACGCUAGCGGCAGGCUUAACACAUGCAAGUCGAGGGGCAGCGGGGUGUAGCAAUACAUCGCCGGCGACCGGCGCACGGGUGCGUAACACGUAUGGAACCUGCCCUUUACUGGGAGAUAGCCCUCCGAAAGGAGGAUUAAUAUCCCAUAACAAACGAGGUGGCAUCACCUUGUUUUGAAAGCUCCGGCGGUAAAGGAUGGCCAUGCGCACGAUUAGCUAGUUGGUGAGGUAACGGCUCACCAAGGCUACGAUCGUUAGGGGGCCUGAGAGGGUUAUCCCCCACACUGGUACUGAGACACGGACCAGACUCCUACGGGAGGCAGCAGUGAGGAAUAUUGCGCAAUGGAGGCAACUCUGACGCAGCCAUGCCGCGUGCAGGAAGAAGGCGCUACGCGUUGUAAACUGCUUUUAACCGGGAAGAAACCCCUUUACGUGUAAAGGGUUGACGGUACCGGAGGAAUAAGCACCGGCUAACUUCGUGCCAGCAGCCGCGGUAAUACGAAGGGUGCAAGCGUUAUCCGGAUUCAUUGGGUUUAAAGGGUGCGUAGGUGGGGCGUUAAGUCAGUGGUGAAAUCCUGCAGCUCAACUGUAGACUUGCCAUUGAUACUGGCGCUCUUGAGUGCGCUUGAAGUAGGCGGAAUGUGCCGUGUAGCGGUGAAAUGCUUAGAUAUGGCACAGAACACCAAUUGCGAAGGCAGCUUACUAAGGCGAUACUGACACUGAGGCACGAAAGCGUGGGGAUCGAACAGGAUUAGAUACCCCGGUAGU